GCUACCAUGCAAGUCGAGCGCACUCUUCGGAGUGAGCGGCGGACGGGUUAGUAACGCGUGGGAAUAUACCCGACACUAAGGAAUAGCCUCUGGAAACGGAGAGUAAUACCUUAUACGCCCUUCGGGGGAAAGAUUUAUCGGUGACGGAUUAGCCCGCGUUAGAUUAGAUAGUUGGUGGGGUAAUGGCCUACCAAGUCUACGAUCUAUAGCUGGUUUGAGAGGAUGAUCAGCAACACUGGGACUGAGACACGGCCCAGACUCCUACGGGAGGCAGCA
rnacentral:rRNA from 1 species